rnacentral:rRNA from 1 species
UACGUAGGGUGCAAGCGUUAAUCGGAAUUACUGGGCGUAAAGCGCGCGUAGGCGGUUUUGUAAGUCGGGUGUGAAAUCCCCAAGCUUAACUUGGGAACUGCAUUCGAGACUGCAUAGCUAGAGUAUGGGAGAGGGAAGUGGAAUUUCAGGUGUAGCGGUGAAAUGCGUAGAUAUCUGAAGGAACAUCAGUGGCGAAAGCGACUUCCUGGACCAAUACUGACGCUCAUGUGCGAAAGCGUGGGGAGCAAACAGG